rnacentral:rRNA from 1 species
UACGUAGGUGGCAAGCGUUGUCCGGAAUUAUUGGGUGUAAAGCGCGCGCAGGCGGUCCUUUAAGUCUGAUGUGAAAGCCCACGGCUUAACCGUGGAGGGUCAUUGGAAACUGGUCGACUUGAGUGCAGAAGAGGGAAGUGGAAUUCCAUGUGUAGCGGUGAAAUGCGUAGAGAUAUGGAGGAACACCAGUGGCGAAGGCGGCUUCCUGGUCUGUAACUGACACUGAGGCGCGAAAGCGUGGGGAGCAAACAGGAUUAGAUACCCGU